ACGCCUAACACAUGCAAGUCGAACGAAGUAGCAAUACUUAGUGGCAGACGGGUGAGUAACAUGUAGGUAUCUACCCUUUGGCCUGGAAUAACACGAGGAAACUUGUGCUAAUACCGGAUAAGUCUUUACAGAGAAAGCUUUAUGCACCAUUGGAUGAGCCUGCACUAGAUUAGUUUGUUGGUGGGGUAAUGGCCUACCAAGACUGUGAUCUAUAGCUGAUUUGAGAGGAUGAUCAGCCACAUUGGGACUGAGACACGGCCCAAACUCCUACGGGAGGCAGCAGUGGGGAAUCUUGCACAAUGGAGGAAACUCUGAUGCAGCGAUGCCGCGUGAGUGAAGAAGGCCUUUGGGUUGUAAAGCUCUUUCGUCGGGGAAGAAAAUGACUGUACCCGAAUAAGAAGGUCCGGCUAACUUCGUGCCAGCAGCC
rnacentral:rRNA from 1 species